UCAAAAUAAUAUCUGAAAGAGGAAAAAAAGAGGGGGAUGAAGAACAGCCACGAGAGAGAGAAUGGGUUUGUGUGUGUGGGACGGCUGGUAACAAAAGAAGGCCAAGGAUAAAGCUAUGGAUUAGAAGAAGCAAUGAAGGAAAGAAAAGGGGGAGUAGAGGUGAAUCAAUUAAAAUGCUGAAAUUAAAGUUUAAGGUCACGCGCCUUUGUCUGCCUAAUUUAUAUGAUGUGUCCAGUCUAUCUAAUUUGCUUCUGCAGCUAUCGGUGAUCAGGCGUGUGACCAGGCUUAGAGGCAUCUGCCUAGAAUCUGUUUUUGUUAGCCAACCUAUGUGCCUCCCGUGGAGGUUCCGGAUAUGUCAAGUGACUAUCGCUAUGUAAUUUAAAGUUUAAGUUAUGUUUUCUUGUUUGGUUAAACAUUUUCUUAUGUAUUUUGAAAAAGGGGCUAAGUCCUUUUUAUCUGAUCUGUAUAUAUGUUAUGAUUUCAAGGUAAGGUGUUUAUAUGUAUAUAAAAAGUUUAAAAUUUUUCUGUCUCA